rnacentral:tRNA from 1 species
GCUCUCGUGGCCCUGUUGGUUAGUGCGUCGUACUUAUAAGCAGUGCAGGGGUAUAUGCGCAGGUCGAGGGUUCGAUCCCCUCCGGAAGCA